rnacentral:lncRNA from 1 species
AAUUCACGAUUAGAAAUCUUGGUUACUAAUAAUGGAGUAGAAGUAAAAGUAAAGUCAAGAUCAAAAUAAACGCAAGAGCAGGAGUAAAUCAAAAUUAAGUUACAAGAACCUUGAAUGUCAUUAUUGUGGUAAAACAAGACAUGUCAAGAAAUAUUGUUACAGGUGGAAGAAAGAGAACAAGGUAAAUAAAAGGAAGUAAAAAAAGAAGAGAAAUGAUAGCAAUACUGAUCGUUUUGCCACUACCACUUCAAAUGAUGAUUUUGCUAUAGUUUAUUGAGAGAAUAUGAUCAAUGU